GCGGGGGUGCCCGAGUCGGUCAAAGGGGCACGGUUGAGGGCCGUGUGGCGCAGGCCUACGCGAGUUCGAACCUCGUCCCCCGCA
rfam:Candidatus Altiarchaeales archaeon IMC4 isolate IMC4_SM1 MSIBFv1_B, whole genome shotgun sequence.